UUUAGUUGAAGCGGAUUUAUAUUGAAUUACGGUUUAUGUCUUUUUUAUUAAAAAUAUGUUAUGUUCAUGUUUUCACACAGCUCCGAUGCACGACUGGAGUUUACCCCUUCAGAUCAACUGUCUAAAUAGGCACAAAAAGGCUUACUAGUCUAAGAAAUAUAUUAUUACUAUAUCAAAUUGUAAAUAAAUGAAUGCAAUAACGCCAUCUAUCGGAACCUAAUUGCGUUAUUAGAAAACGUCUGAACGCCAUCUCUAACAAGGUCAUUCGUUCAGUAGAUUUUACUGUUAAAUUUUUUCAUUCCGGGGCCUUAAAUGAAAAUCGAUUCUUAAGGAGAAAACUCCAAAAACAGUCAAGUAAAUACGCCAUAUCAGAUAUAGCUCAAAAAGUUCGAGUCAAAUCUCAAUUAUAUUUAAAUGGGACCACAUGACAAGCACCACCUAUCGAUUAAAAAAAGAAUCAUCGAUAUCGGUCCACCCAGUAAAAUAGUAAUGAGGUUAAUAUAACGUUGGUCGACGUAAAAUAGCCAAGUAAAUACCCAGUAUUAGCGAUAACUCAAAAAUUAAAAGCUCAAAUAUAUUUAUAACGAAUAAACUGCUACUCUCUACUCUAGUGGAAUAUUGUAAUUUGAUCGAUAGUGAACGAAGUAAUUUCAUAACAUUUUGAUAGAUGGCGUUGUGGCAAAGUAUUGAACAUGACCACAGUCGUCUUAACAUCGUCAUGUAAAUACGUGUCAUCAAAGAUUACUCAAAAAUUGCUCAUUAUAUCUCAAUCAUAUUUAAAACGGACGACAUGACAAGUAUUAGCUUUUGAUUUAUACAAAAAAGAUCAAAAUCAGUGCACACAGUAAAAAGAUAUAACGUAUAAUACAACGUAGGGUGACGAAAAUAAUGUCAAGUAAAUACGCGUUAUCAAAGAUUAAUCAAAAAGUAGUUAUCAGAUCUCGAUAAAAUUUAUAUGUGACCACAUGAUAAACAUCAGCUUUCGAUUAAAGUAAAAAUUAUCAAAAUCGAUACACCCAGUAAAAAGUUAUUGCGGAUUUUCAAGAGUUUCUCUCGAUUUCUCUGGGAUCCCAUCAUCAGAUCCUGGUUUCCUUAUCAUGGUACCAAACUAGGG
rnacentral:misc_RNA from 1 species